rnacentral:rRNA from 1 species
UAGUACGAGAGGACCGGGAUGGACAUACCGCUGGUGUACCAGUUGUUCCGCCAGGAGCAUCGCUGGGUAGCUACGUGUGGAAGGGAUAAGUGCUGAAAGCAUCUAAGCAUGAAGCCCCCCUCAAGAUGAGACUUCCCAUCUAUUCGAUAGAGUAAGAUCCCUCAGAGACGAUGAGGUAGAUAGGUUCGAGGUAGAAGCGUGGUGACAUGUGAAGCUGACGAAUACUAAUAGAUCGAGGACUUAACUAU